GAUGAACGCUGGCGGCGUGCCUAAUACAUGCAAGUCGAGCGAACGGACGAGAAGCUUGCUUUUCUGAUGUUAGCGGCGGACGGGUGAGUAAAACGUGGAUAACCUACCUAUAAGACUGGGAUAACUUCGGGAAACCGGAGCUAAUACCGGAUAAUAUUUUUAACCGCAUGGUUCAAAAGUGAAAGACGGUCUUGCUGUCACUUAUAGAUGGAUCCGCGCUGCAUUAGCUAGUUGGUAAGGUAACGGCUUACCAAGGCAACGAUGCAUAGCCGACCUGAGAGGGUGAUCGGCCACACUGGAACUGAGACACGGUCCAGACUCCUACGGGAGGCAGCAGUAGGGAAUCUUCCGCAAUGGGCGAAAGCCUGACGGAGCAACGCCGCGUGAGUGAUGAAGGUCUUCGGAUCGUAAAACUCUGUUAUUAGGGAAGAACAUAUGUGUAAGUAACUGUGCACAUCUUGACGGUACCUAAUCAGAAAGCCACGGCUAACUACGUG
rnacentral:rRNA from 1 species